ensembl:antisense Gm15624 predicted gene 15624
AACCUCAGCAAAAGCCAAGGCAGCCAACCAACAAAGGCUCGGCCACCUCAGCUGUGCCUCUGCCGCUUGGACGGCUCACCAGCCAGCCUCUGAAGCAGAUCAUGCCAUCCUUUCCUUUUUAAAACCCAUGUCAUCACCAGAUCAUAACGGAAAUCAAUCUCCUCAAACCAUCAUGCAAAGGCAAAGGCGUAUCCAUAGCAACCCCAAAGGAAGGACACAGAGAUGCUCCAGUGGCUGCAGCAAAAAAAAGAGGUGAGUUUGUUUCUCCUCUAUCCAUGCAUCUACCUCUCUGCUCACCAGGGGCAGGCUCUGCCUGCAGAUCUCACCCACAGCACCAAGUGGGAACACUCAAGGUGAGCUAAGACCCCCGCCACACACACACACACACACACACACACACACACACACACACACACACACACACACACGGGAGUAUGGGAGUAUGGGAUGGGGAUGAGAGCAAGGUCUCGUCUCUUGGUUACUGUCUCAGGUGACUGUCUCACCCUGUGAUAUCUGACAAGCAGCUACCAGUCACUUAGCUUUCUAGACAAGAUGCUGGGAAAUCGCUCUAGCAGUUUGGAAUUCCUCUGUGGCAGCGACAGACACCCCACCACCACCACCACCACCACCACCACUAAAUCUCUCCCUUCUCUGAUGCCUUGGGAUAAUGACUCCCAUUUCUGCAGAUACUCAUCAAACAUGAACGCUAAGCCUAUCAAAGCCCAGUAUGCCUCAACUUUCCUUUCAAUAAAGCAGCAAUAUGCUCUGACAGGACUGUUGUGCAAACCAUAGAAGGGCUUGGCAGUUCAAAGCUGGCAUGGACCAUAUAGUAAGUUCCAUGCUACAGAAUGACACCUGUCCCCCCCCCUCCCCUCUCUCUCUCUCUCUCUCUCACACACACAGACAGAGUCUGACAGCACUUAAAACUGAACAAAGCACUCAUUAAAAGGAAGCCACUAUCAUUAUGAUGAAGAUGAAGAAGCCUAUAAGCAUUGGACUCCAGCUCAGACAGGCUCCUCCACACUCCUGGGGCUUGUCUAAGGCUCUCUCUCCUUACUCUGAUCAACUGCAUCUAGCUUCUCUCACCAUAUCUAAGCACCUGUCCUGAUGGAGCUCACACUGGCCACCUACCCCUCAGCCAACAAUCUUGCAGAGAAAGGCAACUGAACUUCUUAGGUAAGAAUCCCUUUGCACACACCGCUGCCUCUUUCCUCCUGAAUCCAUCCCUCCUCCAUUCCUCUGCACCUCACCUCCUCUUCUGAGGACCUUCAUUUCAGUAGUACCCUCUGCCGGUUCUUACACAUCCCCACAAAAACCUGCCCUGGCCUCUUCAAUUCUAGGAACAACUAUUUCUAGUCCUUACCGUGUCCACAGAAUCUAUCCUUCCAUUGUCUGCCAAACUGUGAGUUUGUAGCCCUUAGUGCCAUCAAGCCCUGCAUCUCCACACUGCUCCGCUGGAGUUAGUCCCAUUUUCAGAGUGAAAGCAUGGUAACCAUGGCAUCUUGUUCCCCAACCCCCAGAUGUACUUGUCAAGCUCAUCCAGUGUGUCUAUCCUGAAGCAAAUGAAGAAGGGGGCUCCCUCUCGCCCUCGGAAUGUUCUUCUUCCCCACUUCCUGGGCAGCCUUGCUCACACGCACAACAAUCCCUCACUCCUCUGUCUGCCCCUGCCUUCUGUAAGUGUGGCAGGAAGAAUCCAUCCCCCCUUUACCAACUACCUUCUUCUACCAACCCUCAGCAGGGACGCUUCUGAAACUCAGACCCACAUUUGUACCGGGCUGCUGGACAUCACAGACCACUAAGGUUCAACAUGCCCCAGCAUGCCACAGUCUACCUAAGUUAGAUAACUGAGCCACUGUUAACAACCCCUUCUUAUUUGGUUAAUUCUGCCGCCACAGCCUCUCUCUGAUUCAUGUGUCCUCUCCAUCCUGUUGGCCUAAUUUCACUUCAGCCUUAAAACACUUCUGUUACGGUAAGUCUCCCCAUUACAUCCAUUUUAAGUCUCCCAAUAUCCUGAGCUCAGACUCUACUCCUUCAGCUUCCUUCCACGGCCAGCUUCCCAAAACACAGUCAUGUUAUCCCUGCUUAAAGACUUCUUGUGCGGGCCAGGGAGGUGGCUCAAUAGGUAAAUGCCACCAAAUCUAACAACUUGAGUUUGAUUCCCAGGAUCAACAUGGUAGAAAGAACCAGCUCAUACAAGCAAUCUCUCUCUCUCUCUCUCUCAGAGAGAGAGAGAGAAUAUAUAUAAUAAAAUUUUUUUAUUAACUUCACUGUGAACAACAAUAACCCCUCCUUUGAUGCAUGCCAAAGCUCUCCCCUUCUGGCUGCUUGGAUCUACUUCAAGCCCUUUGCCCUGCAAAUAAAAAAAGAGUAUCACCCGGACCCCACUCUUCAUCCAUCACUACUUAGGUCAAUAGUCAUCUCCUUCCUGAAAUUCCCCAGCUUCUCCCUGGAGAGCCUGUUAUUUCCUUUCUGCCCUUGUAUAGACACCUUGGACAAAGUUUUGUUACAGCACCACACUUUACUGAAAAUACUGCCUACCAUCUUCUGUCCAACCUCCCCCUAAGAGGAGGAGGACCCCAAAGUGUCUAAGCACUGAGCACAGUGCCUUACCAGAGAGGGACAUAAUAGUCAAAAGUUAUUGUGCCAGCCGGGCUCCGGGCAUAAGAUCAGGGCCAGCCCAUAAAAGCAGAGCUGGAGAGCUGACUCAGAGGUUAAGACAGCAAUGUGCAACCGCAAAGGCCUAAGUUCAGGCUCGAGUACCCACUAGCAAGCUCAGCACUGUGAGGGAGAAGACAGUAUUGUCGGUGUUUGCUGGCUGCUUCAAGAGGCCCAUAGUGAGACUCUGUCUCAAACAAACAAACAAAACAAACAAAGGAAUAGAGUGUUAGAGAAAGCUUCCUUCUUUGACCUCCAGGGAUGUGCACAGGGACACACACUCAGACACAUAUGUGCAGAUAUCACACCACAUUCACACAUACCAAAAAACAAAAAACAAACAGGCUGGAGAGAUGGCUAGUUAAGAGCAAUGACUGCUCUUCCAGAGGUCCUGAGUUCACAACCAUCUGUAAUGGGAUCUGAUGCCCUCUUCUGGUGUGUCUAAAGAUAGCUACAGUGUAAUCACAUACAUUCAAUAAUUCUUUAAAAAACAAACACCACAGGGUGGGGGGAAGUACACUUGUACAUACAUACCACACACACACACACACACACACACACACACACACACACAGCAGUGCAUGAAGCUCUUUCAGAUAAGCACCUAAACUCAUAUGCUUCCAUGGUAAAGGAACCACAGACCAGACAGGCUCUAAGUAAAAUGCAGAUCUUCUGAGAAGGAAUGUUCUUCAAAAGGCUCUAAGGGCACCAAAGCCCUGCUCUCUGCUGCAGAAAAGCAGAGAAAAGGUGAGGAUGCACACCUCAACUAAUGCCACUCAAUACC